CCUCUGUUUUUCUUCGCAUUCUUUUUUACCUUCCCCUGACUGGGAGGCGAUUCGUCACACGAUAAAGAAUGCGAAGACGAACAAAAAAAGCCUCCCCCGCGGAGGCUUUUUUUAU
rnacentral:ncRNA from 1 species